rnacentral:tRNA from 1 species
AUCGAAGUGGUGGAAUUGGCAGACACGUUAGGUUUAGGUUCUAAUUUUUUUAGUAGGGGUUCAAGUCCCCUCUUCGAUACAA